UUCCAGCUCCAAUAGCGUAUAUUAAAGUUGUUGCAGUUAAAAAGCUCGUAGUUGAAUUUCGGGGUUAGUAGGUUGGUCAUGCUCCGGUAUGUACUGAUCUCACUGAUUCCUCCUUCCUUAUGAACCGUAAUGCCAUUAAUUUGGUGUUGCGGGGAAUUUGGACUGUUACUUUGAAAAAAUUAGAGUGUUUAAAGCAGGCUAACGCUUGAAUACAUUAGCAUGGAAUAAUGAAAUAGGACGUUCGAUCUUAUUUUGUUGGUUUCUAGGAUUGACGUAAUGAUUAAUAGGGAUAGUUGGGGGCAUUAGUAUUCAAUUGUCAGAGGUGAAAUUCUUGGAUUUAUUGAAGACUAACCACUGCGAAAGCAUUUGCCAAGGAUGUUUUCAUUAAUCAAGAACGAAAGUUAGGGGAUCGAAGACGAUCAGAUACCGUCGUAGUCUUAACCAUAAACUAUGCCGACUAGGGAUCGG
rnacentral:rRNA from 1 species